AUACGUAGGGGGCGAGCGUUGUCCGGAUUUACUGGGCGUAAAGGGUGAGUAGGCGGUUGUAUAUGUCAGAUGUAAAAGGCUAUGGCUUAACUAUAGUAAGCAUUUGAAACUGUGCAACUUGAGUGCAGGAGAGGUAAGUGGAAUUCCUAGUGUAGCGGUGAAAUGCGUAGAUAUUAGGAGGAACACCAGUGGCGAAGGCGACUUACUGGACUGUAACUGACGCUGAGGCGCGAAAGCGUGGGGAGC
rnacentral:rRNA from 1 species